UCUAUAAUAGCUUAGCGGUAAAGCAUUUGAUAGUUAAUCAAGGCGUCAUCAGUUCGAAUCUAAUUUGUAGAC
rnacentral:tRNA from 1 species